GUGCCAGCCGCUGCGGUAAUACGGAGGGUGCAAGCGUUAAUCGGAAUUACUGGGCGUAAAGCGCACGCAGGCGGUGAUUAAGUUAGAUGUGAAAUCCCCGGGCUUAACCUGGGAAUGGCAUCUAAGACUGGUCAACUAGAGUCUUGUAGAGGGGGUAGAAUUCCAUGUGUAGCGGUGAAAUGCGUAGAGAUGUGGAGGAAUACCGGUGGCGAAGGCGGCCCCCUGGACAAAGACUGACGCUCAGGUGCGAAAGCGUGGGGAGCAAACAGGAUUAGAUACCCUGGUAGUCCACGCUGUAAACGAUGUCGAUUUGAAGGUUGUUCCCUUGAGGAGUGGCUUUCGGAGCUAACGCGUUAAAUCGACCGCCUGGGGAGUACGGCCGCAAGGUUAAACUCAAAUGAAUUGACGGGGCCGCACAAGCGGUGGAGCAUGUGGUUAAUUCGAUGCAACGCGAAGAACCUUACCUACUCUUGACAUCCAGAGAACUUAGCAGAGAUGCUUUGGUGCCUUCGGGAACUCUGAG
rnacentral:rRNA from 1 species